GUGCUGACUUCAGCAGCACAUAUAUUAAAAUUGGAACAAUAUAGAGAUGAUUAACAUAGCCUCUGUGCAAGGACAACAUGUAAUUUCAUGAUGCAUUCAGGUCCAUA
ensembl:snRNA U6 U6 spliceosomal RNA